GGCCACAUGGUGAGCACAACACAAUAUAUUCUUUUGCCUUUUACUAAAGACUACUGUGUGCUAGCCACUUGAAGCGGCAUAUGCCUAUUUUUGAGGGUCCCUUUCCUUUUCAGAAAGUGC